rnacentral:misc_RNA from 1 species
GAUGAAGAACGUAGCGAAAUGCGAUAAGUAAUGUGAAUUGCAGAAUUCAGUGAAUCAUCGAAUCUUUGAACGCACAUUGCGCCCCCUGGUAUUCCGGGGGGCAUGCCUGUCCGAGCGUCAUUACAACCCUCAAGCUCAGCUUGGUAUUGGGCCCCGCCGACCCGGCGGGCCCUAAAGUCAGUGGCGGUGCCGUCCGGCUCCGAGCGUAGUAAUUCUUCUCGCUCUGGAGGUCCGGUCGUGUGCUCGCCAGCCACCCCCAAUUUUUUUCAGGUUGACCUCGGAUCAGGUAGGGAUACCCGCUGAACUUAAGCAUAUCAAUAAGCGGAGGA